rnacentral:sRNA from 1 species
UGUGAUCGGAGCUGCCAUGGAACGUAUCAUCGGCGGCAAGUACAAGCUCGGACGGAAGAUUGGCGG